GAGUGAUUGACAGGUGGAGUGACUGCUGGGGUCAUAAACGAAGAAACAAUGAAGUCACUGGACAGCAAAACAGAUUAUUUAUUCCCAAUGUCGUUGCUCUUGCAAAAUUGCAGGCCUAUUGGUUAUGUGGUGGUUAUGUUGGUUUUAUCUUCCGGUUGGUUGUUAGUCCCCUACAAGAGUUGUCACAAUAUGAAAAGGCUCCAAAAGGUGUCACGGUCAGGAAUCUUUUUCCAGGCAUCCGGUGAUGAUUAGGUAACCAAACCAUAUCACAAGAUGUGUGUUUGUGUGGUCUGGCAAAGUAAUGCUCUUCUUUUGUGAGAAGAGGGCCACAGUACCAAUUGGGCAGAUUUUGUCAAGGCGGCGGGAAUAAAAGAAUAACAUAUACUCAUAA